rnacentral:rRNA from 1 species
UACGUAGGUGGCAAGCGUUGUCCGGAUUUAUUGGGUUUAAAGGGUGCGUAGGCGGCCUUUUAAGUCAGUGCUGAAAUACUCUAGCUUAACUAGAGGGGUGGCAUUGAUACUGAAAGGCUUGAGUGAAGUCGAAGUAGGCGGAAUUGACGGUGUAGCGGUGAAAUGCUUAGAUAUCGUCAAGGACACCGAUAGUGAAGACAGCUUACUAGACUUCAACUGACGCUGAGGCACGAAAGUGUGGGGAUCAAACAGG